rnacentral:rRNA from 1 species
CCUACGGGAGGCAGCAGUGGGGAAUAUUGGACAAUGGGCGCAAGCCUGAUCCAGCCAUGCCGCGUGAGUGAUGAAGGCCUUAGGGUUGUAAAGCUCUUUCACCGGAGAAGAUAAUGACGGUAUCCGGAGAAGAAGCCCCGGCUAACUUCGUGCCAGCAGCCGCGGU